rnacentral:rRNA from 1 species
AGCGAACGCUGGCGGCAGGCUUAACACAUGCAAGUCGAGCGCCCCGCAAGGGGAGCGGCAGACGGGAGGGUAACACGUGGGAACAUACCUUUUGGUUCGGAACAACUGAGGGAAACUUCAGCUAAUACCGGAUAAGCCCUUACGUGGAAAGAUUUAUCGCCGAAAGAUUGGACCGCGUCUGAUUAGCUAGUUGGUGAGGUAACGGCGCACCAAGGCGACGAUCAGUAGCUGGUCUGAGAGGAUGAUCAGCCUCACUGGGACUGAGACACGGCCCAGACUCCUACGGGAGGCAGCAGUGGGGAAUAUUGGACAAUGGGGGCAACCCUGAUCCAGCCAUGCCGCGUGAGUGAUGAAGGCAUUAGGGUUGUAAAGCUCUUUUGACCGGGAAGAUAAUGACGGUACCGGGAGAAUAAGCCCCGGCUAACUUCGUG